rnacentral:misc_RNA from 1 species
GAAAUGCGAUAAGUAGUGUGAAUUGCAGAAUUCAGUGAAUCAUCGAAUCUUUGAACGCACAUUGCGCCACUCGGUAUUCCGUGGGGCAUGCCUGUUCGAGCGUCAUCUACACCCUCAAGCUCUGCUUGGUGUUGGGCGUCUGUCCCGCCUCCUUCGCGCGCGGACUCGCCCCAAAUCCAUUGGCGGCGGCCCUUGCCUCCCUCUCGCGCAGCACAUUGCGCUUCUCGAGGCGCGGCGGACCGCGUCCAGCAAGCAACCGUCACACCGUCUUUGACCUCGGAUCAGGUAGGGAUACCCGCUGAACUUAAGC